GUAAGAAUAUUCCGCAAUGGGGGAAACCCUGACGGGGCGACGCCGCGUGAACGAAGAAGGCCGGAAGGUUGUAAAGUUCUUUUCUGUCCGAGGAAUAAGUGUCGGAGGGAAUGCCGACACGGUGACGGUAGGGCAGGAAUAAGCACCGGCUAAUUACGUGCCAGCAGCCGCGGUAACACGUAAGGUGCGAGCGUUGUUCGGAAUUAUUGGGCGUAAAGGGCAUGCAGGCUGCUCGCCAAGCUUGGUAAGAAAUACCGGGGCUCAACUCCGGAGCUGUAUUGAGAACUGGCGAGCUGGAGUUGCCGAAGGGUAUCCGGAAUUCCGUGUGAAGGGGUGAAAUCUGUAGAUAUGCGGAAGAACACCGAUGGCGAAGGCAGGAUACCGGCGGACGACUGACGCUGAGGUGCGAAGGUGCGGGGAGCAAACAGGAUUAGAUACCCUGGUAGUCCGCACAGUCAACGAUGUACACUGGGCGUGUGCGCAAGAGCGUGCGUGCCGAAGCAAACGCGAUAAGUGUACCGCCUGGGGAGUAUGCCCGCAGGGGUG
rnacentral:rRNA from 1 species